CCUACGGGAGGCAGCAGUGAGGAAUAUUGGUCAAUGGACGCAAGUCUGAACCAGCCAUGCCGCGUGCAGGAAGACGGCUCUAUGAGUUGUAACCUGCUUUUGUACGAGGGUAAACGCAGAUACGCGUAUCUGUCUGAAAGUAUCGUACGAAUAAGGAUCGGCUAACUCCGUGCCAGCAGCAGCGGUAAUACGGAGGAUUCAAGCGUUAACCGGAUUUAUUGGGUUUAAAGGGUGCGUAGGCGGUCGGAUAAGUUAGAGGUGAAAUCCCGAGGCUCAACUUCGGAAUUGCCUCUGAUACUGUUCGGCUAGAGAGUAGUUGAGGUAGGCGGAAGGUAUGGUGUAGCGGUGAAAUGCGUAGAGAUCAUACAGAACACCGAUUGCGAAGGCAGCUUACCAAGCUACUUCUGACGUUGAGGCACGAAAGCGUGGGGAGCAAACAGGAUUAGAUACCCGAGUAGUC
rnacentral:rRNA from 1 species